rnacentral:rRNA from 1 species
UACGAGGGGGGCGAGCGUUGUUCGGAAUUAUUGGGCGUAAAGGGUGCGUAGGCGGUUUGGUAAGUCUUGUGUGAAAUCUACAGGCUCAACUUGUAGUCUGCACGAGAAACUGCCGGGCUUGAGUAUGGGAGAGGUGAGUGGAAUUCCUGGUGUAGCGGUGAAAUGCGUAGAUAUCAGGAGGAACACCUGUGGCGAAAGCGGCUCACUGGACCAUAACUGACGCUGAGGCGCGAAAGCGUGGGGGAGCAAACAGGA